GUGGUUAGAGAGAGAUGGGCCUGGCUGCUUAGACGCUAAGAUAAGUACCUAGGGUGAAGCAGGACGGGAAAAAGGCUGAGGGGCUGGGGAAAGCUCCAGCCUAGGAAAGCCCCAGGCCGGCGGCCUAGUACAGGGCUAAGAGGUACUGGGGUUUGCAGGGGGCAACCUAAGGAUAGGCAAAGCAGCAGGUCCGAACCCCGUUGCCGGUGAUGAGAAGGCUGAUACUGCAGUCUGUCCCAGGAUAUGGGGCUCGAUAGUGACUGAGCAGUAGCCAUUCUGAGGCAAGUGGGGAUAGCGUGGUGGCGGGGGUUCCCCUGAGAGGGGGAGACCCAGUUAGAGUAAAAGGGGCACCGGGUCCAGGGAGGGACACGGGGCUGAGAGUAAAGUAGGUGGAUCACCAGCCUGCAGAGGGCGCUCCGGACUGGAAAAGGAGCUAACUUGCGGAGUAACCAGUAGGAGCCGCGACAGGGGGGGAAAAACUGAAAUCUCAGAAUCACAUGGGAUGGACAGACUGUUUCCUUCCCAAGACUGCCUAGCAUCUGCCCCAGUUACUUGAAUUAGGCCUUGUGUAGCUGUCUUUAUUCUCCAUCCUCAAAAGCUGAGUUUUGUGAGGAUGCUGCCACUAGCCAGAGUGUUUGUUCUCUCACCCCAACUAUUGCUCCUUUCAUGUAUACAAAAUUCUCUGGAAUGGCAACCUGUCAACAGAGAGUCAAAGAACUUUAGCACUGCAAAAGUUGAAAUCAGAAUCAUAUGCAUUAAGUGUAAUCCUGCCUGGACAGUCAAAUACUGUUUCAAAAUGACUUCUUGAUGAUACACUAUAAACUUAGAUCUGAUGAAAGAUUAAAGGAAUUGGUUGUAGGGCCAACAUAUUGUGUUCCAAGCAGAAGUACAUGAAAUGUUUAGAUAUCUAUAAAUAUCCCCAGACCUUGUUGUCUUUUCAACUGUUAGACUGUCCUACUAUUUAUAGGGAAAGACGCAACAGUGAAAAUAUAUUAUUGUGCUUAGAAUACUUAUAUUAAUAGUAAUUUUACCUUUUAAAUUUUAUUCUAUCACUUGCUUCACUGUUCAAACAACCUUUAUGCAUUAAAAAAAUCCAUGAAAAAGGCCAUAGUUAGUCUAAAGUUUCACCAUUUGAAUUGCACACUGAGAGUUUGUAUAUUAAUCCAGCUAUUUUGGGUACUUUUAAGAGCUUGAUCCAGCAAACAUUGACUUCAAUAUGGUCUGCCCAUAUAGUCCUUCUUGUAGGAUAGGUUCUGAAGAUUGUUUUAUCUUUCAGAACUUCAAAAUAUGGGGGUAAUGUGGAAAAUUUGGGAUAACUCCUACACUCCCACCACCAGAUAGUGCAAGUCAGAAUACUCUGGGACUUUCCAGAAGAAAAACAAGUGGUGAAUUUGAAAUUUGUUAAAUGAAAUGUGUUUCUAGGCUUAAGCAUAGCUCUCUGUCUUGAAGAAAUAAGUGUCAUCUUGUUAUAAAACUAAGAUAUAGGCUAGGAAGACAGAGCAGAAACUAAGCAAAUGCCUUAGGUGUGGUGGUGGUGGUCACAUUCUGCCAAGCUUUCCUUGCUUUUUCAAGAAAGUUGAUGAUAUAGUUUAAUUUGCCUAAUUUCUGGGGAAACUGUCAACGAGCUACAUUAUGGGGCAAAUUGUACAGCCCUUACUCACACAUAUAAUUCAAAUGGUCACAAUGGGAUUAGUCACAUGAGUAAGGGCUGCAGAUUUUUUUUCUCUUUGGAACGGAGGACGUGGAUGAAUUGAGAUUUGCCAUGGAAUAUUCUUUCAUUAAUCUGUAAGAGAACA